rnacentral:rRNA from 1 species
GACGAACGCUGGCGGCGUGCUUAACACAUGCAAGUCGAGCGAGGAAAUUCCUUCGGGGAUUUCCUAGCGGCGGACGGGUGAGUAACACGUGGGCAACCUGCCUGGUAGAGGGGGAUAGCCUCCCGAAAGGGAGAUUAAUACCGCAUAACGUCAAGUGCGGGCAUCCCCAAAUGACCAAAGGAGUAAUCCGCUAGCAGAUGGGCCCGGGGCGCCUUAGCUAGUUGGUGAGGUAACGGCACACCCAGGCCAGGAUGCGUCGCCGACCUGAGAGGGUGAUCGGCCACACUGGGACUGAGACCCGGCCCAGACUCCUACGGGGGGCAGCAGUGGGGAAUAUUGCACAAUGGGGGAAACCCUGAUGCAGCAACGCCGCGUGAGUGAUGAAGGCCUUCGGGUUGUAAAGCUCUGUCUUCAGGGACGAUAAUGACGGUACCUGAGGAGGAAGCCACGGCUAACUACGUGCCAGCCGCCGCAGUAACAC